UGUAAAAGAGAGCUUGCUCUCUAUGGCCCUUCUCUACUAAGUAAAGGUUGAAAAAGUUCUGGUAGUAGAAUGUAUGCGAGUACAUAGUAGAUCAAAAGAAUGUGCACGGGACAUUGUUGUGCAGCUACACCUUUACAACAAGUCACUUACAGAAACUGGCCUGCAGGAUAAACUUCAGACAAAAACUGCAGUCAGUGGAACAAACACAGAGCCUUAGUUUACAGUCAGUCCAUAGAUUCUCUCCAAACUUUACUCGACUACAACUUUCAAAAACAGACUUGUUCUCAGUUGUCUGGUCUCUGGUUGGAGAAUCAGAAGGACACAGAGACCUCCAUCAUGGCCACCGCUGACCAGCUGGUGGAGCUGAUGUUCUCCUGGAUCAAGCAGAGGGAGCGCUGUGCAGAGAAGCUGAGGAAACUGGCCCAGGAGCUGGAGUCACUCAGGGAGAAAUGUAAUAUCAGUGAAUGUGUUGGAAGCACAGUGUCAGUGGCUGGAUCUGCAUGUAUGAUCGCAGCUGGUGUGGCCACUUUUUUUACCGGCGGUGCAGCUGCUCCACUUUUAGGCGUGGCAGGAGCAGUGUGUUCAGGUGCAGGUGCCACUGUAUCUGUGGCUACUAAAAUCAUUGAGGGCUUCAUAUCCAGCGAAACCAUGAAAGAGGCGCAAGUGAUAGACGAAAAGAGCAACGAGGUUGCAGAAGAAAUACAAGAACUGUUUGAACAACUGAAGGUGAAGAGUUCCUCCACGGACCCAAAUAAAGUGGAUAAACAUGUCUUGACUGAAAUUCUGAGAGCCAUGGCCAGACGAAGUGGACUGAAGCAGCAGAUCAACAUCCGCAGGCUUGAUAAAGCUCCACAGAUUCUUCUUGACAAAGGACCAAGAAACAUCCUCUUCAACCCUGAAGUGAAUGUUGGACUGGUUGGAAUUUUAGCAUUUUUUGCACUUCAGCUUCGUGGCAAAAACUUAAACAUUUGUUUGCUAAAGGAGCUGAGCAACUGGUCAAACUAAUGUGUAAAGAAAGUGGUUUAGGAACUGGCAAGAUUGUCAAAUCUAGUGCUAAAGUAGCUAAAAAACUAACCAAAAAAUGUUCGUCAAAAGCCCUAAAAGGAGGUGUCAUGGUUGCAGGAGGACUUGUUGGACUGGCGUUUGAACUUCCUGAGGCGAUUGAAGACUGGAAAGACCUGAUCACAAAUAAUCAUGUGACUGAAGCGAGCCAAUCACUGAGAGAUACAGCUGACGCCAUUCUAGAGAUCACCGGGACGCUGGGGGAACAGUUCGACAACAUCAAGCAAAUCUUUGACGAGAUGGUGAAACGUCACGAGGAAAAGGCUUCCAGACGGAAAAGACUGAUGUGCUGCUUGUGCUGCUGCUCUGCAGAAUGAGGCCAGACCAGGUAACCAGAGAAUGAGAGAACAGGCCAUCUACGGUGGCCGACAAGGGCAAACGCGCCGCAACCGCCAAAACUCUGCAAACACAGGAAUGAUGCAAAACC